rnacentral:rRNA from 1 species
UACGGGGGGGGCAAGCGUUAAUCGGAAUUACUGGGCGUAAAGCGUGCGCAGGCGGUUUUGUAAGCCAGAUGUGAAAUCCCCGGGCUUAACCUGGGAAUGGCAUUUGGGACUGCAAGGCUGGAGUGUGGCAGAGGAGACUGGAAUUCCUGGUGUAGCAGUGAAAUGCGUAGAUAUCAGGAGGAACACCGAUGGCGAAGGCAGGUCUCUGGGCUGACACUGACGCUCAUGCACGAAAGCGUGGGGAGCAAACAGG